AGGAUAAACGCUGGCGGCGUGCCUAAAACAUGCAAGUCGAACGGCUGUUGGUCUUCGGACCAACGGUAGUGGCGGACGGCUGAGUAACACGUGGGUGACCUGCCCUCGAACGGGGGAUAACUGCCCGAAAGGGUGGCUAAUACCGCAAAUGUCGGUCUUUCGGUAGGCUGACUGAACCGUUUAGGGUUCGGGAGGGGCCCGCGGCCGAUUAGCUCGCUGGUGGGGUAAUGGCCUACCAGGGCUUCGAUCGGUAGCUGGUCUGAGAGGAUGAUCAGCCAGACUGGGACUGCGAACGGCCCAGACUCCUACGGGAGGCAGCAGUUAGGAAUUUUGGGCAAGUGGGCGAAAGCCUGACCCAGCAACGCCGCGUGGGUGAUGAAGGCCCUACGGGUCGUAAACGUCCCGUUUUACCGACGGUAAGAUAAGUGGACGGUACCGUGGGGAAUCGACGCCCCGGACUAACCGUACGUCG
rnacentral:rRNA from 1 species